CUCAGGUCCCAUAACCUGUCCACUUCUACAGCCUUGAGAUGAGAAAUUGUGACAUAGCUGUGAAACUGGGAACCAGUGAGAACAGCGUCAGGUUUGAGAAAACAAGAUGUCUCGGUGCAUCCCUUUGGAAUACCCCCUGUCGUGAAAUUCCUCGAGAUAUCAAACCAAGACAGACAAGUGAGACAAGAGCGGCAAUAAUCUUUAAAAACUGGUGACCAAACAUCACCCAUCACCAAAAAAGCAACAUCUUCAUCUGUAGAAAUAAAAACAGCAGGUUUCAGAUCCAAUCUUCCAGUGGAGUCGUUCCUGUCAUUUCGUGGUCCAGUUGCUGCACCACAAACUCCUGCUUUCCUUUAAUCAAGAUUUGGCAGAAUGUAGACUGGAGCAUGAGACAAGCAGAGCAGUCACACUGCUUCUUCACAAAAGGCACAGAGCUACCCCCACCUCCAACCGCCGUAGCCAUGGAAAUGCCACCCAAUCCAGAGCCUAGGAAAUGCAGGAAGGGCGGGAAAUGGCUUAGAGCCCUCCUUCCAACUUUCUCUCAAAUGCACAGCCAGGCACAAAUACACACAGCAUGAUUCAAAUA
ensembl:lncRNA